AGAAGAAUGUGGCCUUUGUCGAGUGUUUUCUCUCAGUGAAUGGAAAUGCAGGCUCCAUUCUGUGAGAAGGGGCGGGCUAUGAGCUCUUUCCUCUGCACUGAAUACUGGACAUCUGACUCUACCCUUCCCUCCCUGCACGGACCCUGUGCCCUGGCAACAAGAUACUCUGAGAUAAAAGGCUGGCUGGCUGGAGUUUAGUCUGGUGAUGCUGGAAGCUGCAGGUCAUCACCAAGGACUUCAAGAUCCUCCACUAAUCAAAGAGCAGCACUGCUAAAUGGAUCCAGUCCUGAUCCACAUCCCACUGCCUUCCAGAAGGGGAGGAAAAAUGAGACCGUACUGCCAGCCACCUGUUCCCCCAGAGCCCAGCACGUGCUUCCAGAUCUGCUUUCCAGCAGAAGGCACGGGUCACUCACUGUCCCAGAGUUCAACAAUUAGUCAGACUGGCUGACCAGUAAGCCUGCUGAGGAAGGAUGGUCCUGUCUCUCCGCUGCCCCAAUCCUGCCAUCACAAGCGUGGGUCAGUACUUCCAGCUUUUAUGUGGGUGCUGAGGAUCUGAACUGCCUGCUGGCAUGGUAAGUAUUUCAACACUGAGCAUGUAUCUCCUUGGCCUUCUGAGGCAGACACCUUAACAUGUGUUCUGUUAAAUGCAUCUUUUUUUAAACAAGCUGUCCAUUGGUAACCUCUGUGAACCAUCCCCCGAUUGUCCAAUUGUUUGCUGUCUACUGGCUUAUGCUCCAUUUUCAUUCCUGAAGGGUUGGUGUGUUAGCCACUUUCACCGCGCUCAUUCCACCCCAACCUCCUGCUGUGAACAUUUCCCUCAAAACAUGAUACAUUGUUUCAGAGUGAUGUCCUAUUGUUUCUUCUCUUUUAAACAAUACUGUGGUAGAGCAUCUCACUGACCAUUUGCAAAGUAACUCAGCAUGUUCCCUUUUAUAACGAUCUCUGUGAUGAGAUUUCUGUCUGUGCUUAGCACUGUACUCCCCUCCUGCUCCCCUCCUACCACCCUCUCUAGUAGUAUUCCUCCCUUCUAAAUAAUUCACUCCUUCCUCUAGGUAGCCUCCUUUCGAGCUGUGUAUGUGCAUGUGUGUGGUGUGUGAAUGUGUGUGCACAUGUGUGAGUGCAUGUGUUUAAAUCCAGAAUCAAUGUUUGAGAGGCAGUGUCAUUCUAAGCCUGGCUUUUUUUUUUCCUUCUUAACAUGAUGAUAUCCUGCUCUAUCCAUUUCCUCCCCCAAAUGAUGUAACCCAGGUUUGCUCUCCCUGGCACUAGACCAGUCAUCCACCAUUAGAGGCAUCCAGGCUGUCCAUAGGUCAUGGUUAGUCUUGAUUGUCAACAAUGCUGGCUCUGGAAUCAACUUAACACAAGCUGACACUCCUAGAGGGAUUUUCUUCAUCGGGUUGUUUGAAGCAGGAAAACUCACACUAAAUGUGAUGGUAAGCUGGAUAAAAGGCGAUGGCGUUCGGGCUUUGGUUUUUGCCUGCUUGCUUUCAGUGUUGCUGGUGAGAUCACUUAUCCUGUUCAGUGACACUUACUUAUUUGGGGUGCUCAGUUUUCACAGUGGUCUAUUAAUUCCAAAUAGUAAUCCCCCUGACAGAUUUAUAAUUGGUAGAGAUUAUCUCCCAUGGUGUAACCUACCUCUUCAUGUGUCACAUCAUCUCUUUGUUACUCCAUCUGUCCUGCAGCUUGCCAGCCCCCAAUAACCUAUAGUAAUUGAUUUGUUGGACCUUCACGUGUAGACAAACAUGUCUUCCUUACUCUUUUCCCCCUUCCAAACCUAGUCCUUUAUUUCUCAUGAUUGAUCUUCCUGGUAAACGUCAGAUUGUCUUUUGUCAGUGACAUCACUCCUGGCCUUUCCCCAUGGGGAAUUUAAACUAAUUGCAAUGCUGUUUUCAUUGUGAACUCUGUGCAAUCUAGAACCACCUAGGAAGGAGAUUUGCACCAUCUAAACGUGGAGGAUGUGAACCAACCACAUGUCCAUCUGUUGCUCUGCUUUCAAUGGGUAUGAACGUGAUAUGAGUAGCCUUGACAGCAGUAACAGCCUAUAACUAGAGCCAAACAAGUCCUUCCUUCCUUCGGCUGUUUAUGUUAUGAUAUUUUAUCAGAGCAAUACGAAGACACAGUUACUAUACCAACCAGAAAGUUUAAACUAAUUUUGAAAGGAAAGUAUUUUUUUUUCUAAGAUUCCAUUUUUCUUAGUUCAGCUCCCAUUUAUUUGUCUUCUGAAUGGCUAUGGAGAACACUGGUGAUGCCAUGAUGAUACAAGUCAUAACAACAGAAGUGAUGUUGUCCAAUGUAUUCAUGGAUACCAGGCAUUAACCAGUCAGACAUAGGCACUGCAAACAGACAUACCCCUUCCUUUAUCCACCGUUUAACUGAAUUGAGUUAUAGAUAUUGUAUAUGUUUACCCUAUGGUGUGCUUAAAACAACUUUCCUUAAAGUGAUAUUAAUCUCUAAAUAACCUCCUAGCUUUAUAGUUGCUUCUGAGCUCAUCUGAACACCAAUGUCAACUGUUAUAUGACGACACUAGGGACCCGAUCAGGAACCUGCACAGACUCUUUCAAAGCCAAAGGUGAAUGGCAUAUCUCAAGGAGUCAUGUGGUCUUUCUUGGUAUAAUCUGCCGUUCUGUUCAGUCUUUGAGAUUCUUUUGACUAAACAGCAACGAUUCUCAAAAUGUCCAAGCCACGGUAUGCAAUCUGAGGUUUACAUGAGCCAAGACUUCCUGCCUUCACUCAUAAACAUGACCUCCAAGUAAGUCCUAUUCGCUUGUCACCUUGGUUUAACUCCUUCUGUGACCUCCAAUCCAAAGGCUUGUGUGGAGUUUUACAACUGAAAACAAGUUAGUUUUGUUAACAAAAGUACCCCUGUUCUGAAAUGGGUUUUACUGACAUCAAAUUCCAUGCGGAAUGAGUUCUGACGCUAAACUGCUUCCCCUUUCAGGACCAACGAAUGAAGGUGAUCAUUUUGGGUCAUGCUUCAUGGAGGUUUACAACUCAAGACAUGACGAUGCCACCACACCCCAAGUUCUUCUAGUUCUUCUGUCCCUCCCGGAAUCUGUUCUCUCUGCACACUUGGCAUGUGGUAGAAAGGUUGGAGACACUGGGGCUGAGCUGAGGGGCCCUGUACACUUAUGCCACCUAUAGCUGAUCCACGGGUGACUGUGGUGACCUGCAUGCUACCAAAUUCUAGUGUUCACAAAUGAGUCCAAAGUUUAGCUGAAAUUUCCAACUAAUUGAUCCCAGGGCCAUUUUGUAGGAUUCUAUGAGGCUCAUGGUAACUCUCUCUUUAAGAUAUUCCUCAU